rnacentral:tRNA from 1 species
UCCCAGGUGGCUCAGUGGUGAAGAGUCGCCUGCCUUGCAGGAGACCCAGGUUCAAUCCCUGGGUUGGGAA